UGCGCAGGCGGGCUUGUAAGUCAGUGGUGAAAUACUGCCGCUCAACGGUAGAACUGCCAUUGAUACUGCAAGUCUUGAGUAUGGUUGAGGUAGGCGGAAUGUGUCGUGUAGCGGUGAAAUGCAUAGAUAUGACACAGAACGCCGAUUGCGAAGGCAGCUUACUAAGCCAUUACUGACGCUGAGGCACGAAAGCGUGGGGAGCGAACAGGAUUAGAUACCCGGGUAGUCC
rnacentral:rRNA from 1 species